rnacentral:lncRNA from 1 species
AAAACUUCUAAUACACUCACGUAGUUUCAUAUUUUUUUAUUUUAAUAUUAUAUAAUUUAAAGUGUAUUAAUUUAUUAUCAUAUGGUUUCGUAUUUUCUCAUUUUAAUACUCUGUGAUUUCAAGUGUAUUAAGUUAUUAUCUGUGGUUUCGCACUUUCUCACUUUAGUAUCAUGUGGUUUAAUAUUUCGUUAAAUUAUAUAUCCCGAAAUGGAUAAUAAAAAAAGAAAAUUGAAACCACAGAGUACUAACUUGAUAUACUUGAAAUCACAGGGUACUGAAGUGAGAAAAUGCGAAACCACAGUUUACUAAUUUGAUAUACUUGAAACCACAUCGUACUAAAAUGAAAAAGUGCGAAUCACGAAGGAAUAUUUGAAAUUUCCCUUAAAAUUUUUGUUUUUUCCUUUUUUGGAGGAUGGUACGAAGCAAAUGGCCUAUAAGUUUACAUAUUCAAAAAAAUAUUUACAAAGCUGAAACGAAAUAGAUUUAAAAUAUAGGGAAAACUUCAAAAAACACUCUUGUGGUUUCAAAUUUUUUCACUUUAGUACCAUGUGGUUUAAAAUGUAUCAAGUUAGUACCUGUGGUUUCUCACUUUAUCACUUUAGUAUCUUGUUGUUUAAAGUGUAUCAAGUUAGUACCCUAUAGUUUUGCACUUUAUCAUUUUAGUACCCUGUGGUUUUAAUUUUGUAUCAAAUUAGUACCCCGUAGUUUUUUAAACUAUAGGGUACUAAAGUGAUAAAGUGUGAAACUACAGGGUACGUAAGUGAGAAACCACAGGGUACUAACUUGAUACAUUUUAAACCACAGGGUACUAAAGUGAUAAAGUGAGAAACCACAGGGUACUAACUUGAUACACUUUAAAUUACGGAGUACUAAAAUGAAAAAGUAUGAAACCACAAUAGGGGUUUUUGAAAUUUUUCCUAAAAUAUAUUGGGGUACGACAAAGACGAAGGAUAUAGAGAAGUGAGAGAUUGAAAAAGAAUGGAAAAGAAAAGAAUAGAAAUAUCUCUAAAAAAAAAAAGAAAAGAAAUAAACCAAGUUUAAUAUUUUUUUAAUAAUUUUGUUGUGUAGUUUUAAAGGAUUUCGAAAAUUUGGUACGCAUUCAUUUCUUUCUUUCCGGUCAAAAUCAUGCCAAGCGAAUAAACUAUUGAAUGUUAAGGACCUUUUUGUUUGGGUGAAAAUGAAUAUGAGUGAAAUUGUUUCUAACUAUAAACAAUGAUUUUUGCUGUUGAUUCGCCGUAGUAAAAAUACGGUCGAAACUUAGUUAUUCGAAACUAGGCUGAAGUUAAAUUACGGUGAAAAAAGAUGAAAAAUAUAAUAAAAUAAUAUAAUAGAUAAUAUUAGUUAUAUUUAAAUAUAUUUAAUUAUGAUGCUAAUUACUCUUUUAUUUAGUUUACAUAUUUAAAAUAAUAUAAAAAUUAAUUAGUUAAGUUUUAGUAUUUUCUUCAUUUUAGUUUAUAUAUUUAAAAUAUAAUGAAAAUUGAUUAGUUAAGUAUUAAUAUUUUUUUACUUUAUAAUUUUAUUGUUAUAUUAUUAUAAUUUGGGUAUAAAAAAUAAUUUAAUUGUUAAAUUUUAAUUAUAUAGAAAUAUAAUUAUAUUAAGUUUAUUUAUUAUAUUAUAAAUUAUUAUUUAUCAAGUUAUUUAUUAUUUAUACAUAAAUUAUAUUUUAUAUUAUUCACUUUCUGCCAAAACAAACAAUAGAGUUGAAAAAACUUUAUUUCUAUGAAACAAACAACGAGGAAAAAUAAUUUUUAUCUGAAUUCCACUUCAACACAAAGUCCACUAGUUAAUUCAAAGUUUAGUUUCGAUGAAACCAACAAGUCUCAAGAGAUAACUAGAAUUC